UGGUUUGGUUUUGAAUGAGCCGUGGCGGCCGAAUGUGCGUCGCAUUCCUCUGCUGUCGCACCAUAGAAUGGAUGGGGAAUCGCAACCUCGUGUUCCGUCUCUCGCCUCGCCACCGCCUUUUCGUGUCAUCCAUGUUCAUCGGAACAUGCUUUCCGAUUAAUUUGUUCGAAAAGUACUUGUAACGUCGGUAAAUAAUAUUGCCUUGGAUAUUUGAAUGCUUAGGGUAUAGUGGAGCUAGGGUGCGGACUGCGGAGAAACUUUGAUGCUCCUGUAUUCAAUCACUGCGCCAAGGUCGGAUCCGGAGUUAUCUCUCUGAAGGUCAUUGACAACAUUUGUGAAGAAAAUUAUAUGGAGGUGGUGUGGUGGAUAUAAUGGCUGCCAUUUAUAUUGCUGGUGUGCCAUAUUUGCUUAAUGCGUUCCAUUAGGUGCCCGGAGUUUAUGGGGAGAGAAAUUUGUUAAGCAUACCAAUGAAAAGAGACUUCCAUCACAUGGGGCGAAAAUAUGUGGCCCUAUCAGAUGGGCUUGGGGGGUGCAUCCUGGGUGGGCCUUGACCAAUUGAACGCAGUUCUGUCGUUGAAACAACUGAGCAUUUGUUUCAUGGCAGAAACUUUGGUAAGUCUUUGUGCUUUUCAUUGCCUGUUCGUGUUACUAAAUUUUCCCGUUAUUGCAGGUGUAAAGCAAACUAUUAGACAGAUUACGAGAUGUUCUUUUCAAUGCCCCUCUGCGUUGCGUUAAACUGCACUGGAUAAGUAAAAGCUUCUAUGCUUAGAGUCAUUAUUUAUCUGUUUUUCCUUUUAUGAUUUUACGCUUUUUAACCUAGAAAUGCACACUUUUGAGUGUCGAAAUUUUUCUUGUAUAAGGGUACCUGGGUUAACUAAUUACUAUCAUAGUCUGCUGUGGGAAAUGGAUGGGGUUGGUUUGAUGUUUGCUA